rnacentral:rRNA from 1 species
GAGUGAACGCUGGCGGUAGGCCUAACCCAUGCAAGUCGAACGGCAGCACAGUAAGAGCUUGCUCUUACGGGUGGCGAGUGGCGGACGGGUGAGGAAUACAUCGGAAUCUACUUUUUCGUGGGGGAUAACGUAGGGAAACUUACGCUAAUACCGCAUACGACCUACGGGUGAAAGCAGGGGAUCUUCGGACCUUGCGCGAUUGAAUGAGCCGAUGUCGGAUUAGCUAGUUGGCGGGGUAAAGGCCCACCAAGGCGACGAUCCGUAGCUGGUCUGAGAGGAUGAUCAGCCACACUGGAACUGAGACACGGUCCAGACUCCUACGGGAGGCAGCAGUGGGGAAUAUUGGACAAUGGGCGCAAGCCUGAUCCAGCUAUACCGCGUGGGUGAAGAAGGCCUUCGGGUUGUAAAGCCCUUUUGUUGGGAAAGAAAAGCAGCAGGUUAAUACCCCGCUGUUCUGACGGUACCCAAAGAAUAAGCACCGGCUAACUUCGUG